GCGGCAGUGGCGGAAUUGGCAGACGCGCAAGAUUCAGGUUCUUGUGUCCGUAAGGAUGUGAAGGUUCAAGUCCUUUCUGCCGCACCA
rnacentral:tRNA from 2 species